rnacentral:tRNA from 1 species
CAAAAUAUAGCUUAAACAAAGCCUCUCGCUUACACCAAGAAGACAUCUGUGAAAAUCGGAUUAUUUUGA